CGGCAACAGCUCAAAUUUGAAAUCUGCCCGCAAGGGCCGAGUUGUAAUUUGUAGAGGAAGCUUUGGGUGCGGUACCGACUGAGUCCCCUGGAACGGGGCGCCACAGAGGGUGAGAGCCCCGUAUAGUCGGACGCCAAACCUGUGUAAAGCUCCUUCGAC
rnacentral:rRNA from 1 species